UUUUCCCUUUCCCCCUCCUGUUCCAAAUUUUAGCUGUCGUAGUUUAUGUAGGCCUAGAGUCAUCAAUUCCGGUAUGCAAGGCUGCCGCUCCUACAUCGAGCGUGUUUUGGAUAGCUGGGAUUUGGCUUUUACUCUGGUUUUAAUGCUGCCUGUCAGCCUGAGAAGUAUGAUCCUCCAAAAUCAUCUUGAGCUAUUUUUCCAGUCUUCACAACAGCGUUUUUAAAACUCGGCAGAAAAAAUAUUUAUUUUGCCCAAGAAAACUCCUUGAAGACUAUUUUUCUCCUCCUUGUAACACAUAUUUUAUCUCAGCAGCAGUUAGGCGUGGAUGCCUUGACUUUCUAGGAAAGCAGUUUUUAAAGAACUUUUAUUUAGACAUCUGGAAACCGAAGGGAAUCUUCCUACUCUGUGCUGGCUUUCAGCUGCCGCCUGGUAGAACAAAUAGCGAGGGGAAAAUAAGCAAUGGAAUAAACAUGCCUGAUGUUGGGAAUUGGAGUUAAUAAUACAAAAAUCACGUGAGGUUAAAAGAUGGCUAGAAUUUCUUGUUUCAGGAGAUAUUUUGUCAUGUCCAUCCUGCCGCCUUUUCAUAAGGUAAGCGCUCUUAGAGAGGGAACAGCUGGGUGUAUCUCACAAGGUGUGGGUGGCAGGAUGGUGCAUGCUCUCUCUUCCCCAGGAUCCUGUUAGGUGCAGAUGGUCAUUCGCAGAAGUCGGUGUGACACAUAUGGCUUAUGCCUGUUUAGCUCUUGCAUGGGCUUCGGGGGUGCUGGAGCUGCUGAGGAAGGAGGGGGUAGAGCCCUCGGGAAGGGAGGACAGGAAUUGUUCUCUCCCUCCUGUAUAAACAACAGUAAAUAUUAGUAAGGAAAGCUGCUCCCUCAAUGUGGCAAUAGCAUUACCAUCCACCCGCGCUUAAAGGCUCUCUGCGGGUCUCUGCUGUGGUGUUACUGGAUGACAGCAGGUCAUACCAGUGACGAUUGUCCAUUUUAUGGCAAGAGAUGAUGGAACUUAAUUCAUUUUACUGAGCUUGUUACUUGAAUGGGAACUAAAAUACUUGUUUUCUUCAAACACUUAAAGAACUACACAAAUGCUGCAGAAUGUUGGCAGAGCAAAAACAUUUGUCUGUUUAAAUAUUAAGAGAAUGCUCUAUUGAGAGAUUUGUUCCUGCUUACGAGGUUUCUCUGUUAUUCAAAGCCAGAAUAUUGAUAACAUCCACUCCUGAAACAAGUCUUAAUUUUGAAAUUCAUGCAAUCUCUUCUACUGCUGGAUGCUUUUAUGUGCUAACCUUAACAUAAGGCUAAAUGGCUGAAAUGAAAUACUUCGCACAUUUACUAGAUUUAGAGCAUUGCACGUCUUGCAGUUCAGGUAACGCAGCUGGGCUCGGAUUAACCUAAUCUGCUUUAUUCAGCCUAAUAGACAUUCUUGUGGAUCAAUCAUCUGCAUGUGCUGGUCACUUAACACAGUAUGUGCAGGCACCAGACAAAUUGCUCACUUCACUCUGGACUACUCUGAAAAAUGUAUCGGUCAACAUGAGCAAACAUUGGUUUUUUCUAUUAAUAAUAAAGCUCAUCCAAACACGCAGGAUGAAAAAGCACGCGGGACAGAUCCCACCCUCAAGUCUGCAGCUGAGAAAGCAGAGAGUUCUGUACGGAACCUGUCUGUUCGCAGUGAACUAGGCCAAUGGGCAGCCGCCCCCCACUGAUGUGAUUUAGGGCUGGUGGCUUCUAGGUUUGGCUUCUCUGCUUUUCAGCUCUUCUAGACAUUGGAAAUUCCAGUUUGUGUUUAUUUUCUCUGGAUUCCUUCCCACAAGACAGAAGUUAAUUCAGCAUGGAUUGUUGGGGAGAGCCUUGGCUGGGAAUAAGGAUAAUUGCAGUCUCUGUCUGUGCCACAGAUUUACUGAUGGUUUCUUUUAAGUUAUUCACCUGCACUGUAUCUGUUUCCUCAGCUGUAAAAUAUGGGUAAUUACCUCCUUUGUAAAAUGUUAUGGGUUCUGCUGGUAAUUAUAUGAAUGAAGUGCUAAUUACAGUGAUUAUUACUUGGACCUAGUCUAGAUCUGGGUGAUGUUCCUGUUGCGAUGAACAUAUGAAACGCAUACUACAACUCGCCUGUCUCCAUCUUUGCGAGGGACCUGGAAGGGGAGGGUGCCGCAGCACCCCAGUGUCAAUUCCUGACGAGAAGCACGACUACUUUUUCACCCCAGUCACUCUGUUAACGUCCCGUCCUCCCUGUCCCCGUGCGUUAGCGGGGCGGUAGGCUGGUGAGAGGCUAAGGCGUUACUAACUCGGGACUCGGAUCCACGUGCGAUUUGGUAACAAGGGUUUAUGCUUUGGCAUUUGCUUUUCCUCUUGGGGAUGGAGAGAAGAAAGCCGACUGGGGACGGCGCUGUCUGGGAUAGCAGUCGGGCUGGGGCCGGUCUGCUGCUGCCUUGUGGCCUCGGCUCCUUCACAAGGUCUGACCUUGAUGCCAGGAAAGCUGUCCUUCCAGCUGUUGGGAUUACUUCCGCCCUGUAAAAGACUAUGGGUUGCCAGAUUUUAUUAUCAAACACUUCAUUUGCCUUUCUCUUCUCCAUUUAUUUAGGACAGAUUUUCUUUGUAGCUGGGAAUAGCUCUACUGUCCACUAGGCAAGGCUGGGUGGCAGAGAAAGAAUUGAUAUUCUUUAAGGUAGAAACGGAGUGUUCUCAUCCAGGAAGCACUGCUGCUACUGCCCAGGUGAUGCAGUAGCUUUUGACAGUAGUAAUAAUGAGUAACGUCUGACAUCGUUAAUGAUGAGAGGCUCCUACCCCACACCAGCCUUCCCCGGGCGCACGUUUCAUGGGGCAGUGACAACAAAAAAUCACGUUCUCUGUUGAUCUUGCCGCAGUUCCUGCCUGCGCUGUUCUGCCACGUGGGCUCGCUCUGCCUUUCUGGGUUCUGCUGGACAAAUUUCAGUCCUCCCCUCCAUGUGCCCGCUUGCCAUCAACCUCGGCCUUGCUUUGCCCUGCAAGAGCAGCCAUAGAUCUCGGUAACAUCUUCAGAAUUUGGUAGGAAGCUAGAGGGGAUAUGCUGAGCAGCUCUUCCGCUCUCACCGUCUCGUGAUUGCAGUGAAUAUUUAACCUUCAGGAGGAGGGUUUAGUAACUGCCCAGUAUGGCAACACAAAAAGGCUUUCCAGCCACGGAAAGGCAAUUUUUAAUUGCAGUGUUGCACUUGAAUUUUCCAAACUGAAUGCUGACCUCUGACAGCUGAUUUCUGAUCGAUUCUACAUGUUGAGAUCAAUCUGGAGUAUAUCACGUCCUCGCAGUACUUCAGUUGUUGGCAGUGCAAAGCCCAUCUAAUGCAGCUUAUUGGAUAUUAUUGUUUGGGGAUGACUAAGGGAGGCAAAUGGUUCCACGUACAGGUUUUUUUCAAGGCUUCUAGGUUUACAACUUUUAAAAUCGUAACUGAAAAUCCACCAGAUACUUGUAUUUCUUUGCUGGACGCGCAUACAUCUAUGUUGACGUAGACAUCGCCGUGGAUACAAGCUGCAGUCCCGUCUGGAAACGUACGCUUUGCGCCCGGACCUGAACAGGACAGAUCAGUUGCGUGCUCCGGUGACGGGCAGCAACGUGCGAUUCCAGACGAGUGACAGCAGUUGGUACCAGGUGAUGAGUGUAUGGAAAGACCCGGCCUCGUUAGGUGGAGGAAGAAGUACACAAGGGAAUAUCAUCCUUCCCUCAUCACUCUUGCCUCCCUUUAAAGCAUCCAAGAUCAGAUAGUUGUCUGUGUGUGUGUCUGUGCACGUCACCUAAUAUUCAUAUGUUGGUUUGUUGUGGUUUUUUUUCUUAAAUCCUAUUGAUUUGGAAAGCAAAAAACUUGGUUCGUUCCUACAGAAUCAUCAUCUAUUAAGAUGAUUUAAUUUGGUGUGAGCUGCAUCAAAAGUGGAUAAUGCCAUAUAAAUGUUCUCACUGCACGUUGCAUGAGCGAAUUGAUCUGUGCGUGCUCUGCGAGUCUUGUAUGGUGAGGCACCUUAAAUUACUGCAUAACCUAAAGGAUAAUCAAUAAUUCAGAUUCGAGAUUUAUUCAACUCUAAUUUUACAGCAUUCUUGCAAAAAGUGGGAAGGUGUAUGACAUCUGUGGGAUUUCUGUAUCUCAGUACCGCUCUGAAUGCUGUAAAUCAACAGUGUAAGUAACAGAUGAUCUUUCUUUUUAAACUUUGAUGUUUAGUAGCAGAACAGUUAUAAACCCUCUCAAGUCUUCCUCCUCUUAGAAAUUAGCAAACUGUCUGGUUUUCAUCGUGGUGGCAAAGCGUGGCAUAAAACCACUGUAGCUUAUGAUAAAAAUGCUUUCAAGGAUCUGAAUUAAAAUGUAGCAUCACCACAAAACCAGAGUAUUUAAAGCAUAAGGGAUUCCAAAAUAAUGUGCUGCUAAAUGGAAGUUUCUCUAGUUUUGAGAGCAGUUUUUAACGAUUAACAUACCCCAUUUGGGUGGCGUUCGGCGUCGCCUCACAGCCCCAGCCCCGCUCCGCACCCGGUGCCGUGGUGCGUGCGGGCAGGACAGCCCGGCGCGCUCGGAGCAGCCGGCAACGGCGGCUUGCGCUGCCUGUCCCUGCCGGCAUCGCCGGAGGAGGAGGGGGAGGAUUUCCUUCAUGCGCCCCAUCCCUAGCUGCCCCCGUCUCUGUAUGGACGCAGAAUCCCCACAGGAGGGUGCUGUGAAGGCAUUUAAUGUGCAGAAUUUGCAGGGAAGAUCAGAGUUUUGAGGAAACAGCAAUUAUAGGGAAGCCAAAGCCAUGUUCUGGCAAGGACAGCGCAUGAAUUGUCCCCUGGGAGGGACGCGGGGAGAGGUCCGAUGUUGGUGCUUGCUUGCAGCGCCCUUGCUGCCCGUGAAGGUGUCGGGCCUGCGAGUGACGAUGGCAAGAGAGGCGAUGCUCUCGGGCGCCGCGGGGUCGAGCGAGCGGUGACCGGCAAAGCAUCCCGGGCUGUCACUGCGCCUCCCGCCUCCGGCGGGUCCUGGGACCCUUCACGAUGAGUGUUGUCCGUGGCUGGCGGGUCGUGUGGCCUCGCCAACGAGCCUUGGAGCCGCUCAUCCACUUUCCCGUUUGUACGUGGAAUAUUUAAUCCGCAUAAGCUGCGAGAUGUGUUUGGUUGCAAGGAGAACCUCGGAGUUCUGUCCUAAAAUACUUUGUAAAUGAGACUGUUUUGUUCAGCACGAUCAGAAAGGCUAAUGAAAAAUAACAGACACCUCUCUCUAGUUCUUGGCUGUAAAACUUUCUUUCAAAUAUUUUACAUAAAGGAGAUUAUGCCUUUUGUAUAGUACGUACUCAUGCCAAAAUACUUUUAUCUGAUGAGGCCAGUUAAAUAGCCUAUCCCACAUGCUGCUUGCUUCAGCUGGGGUGUUGCUUCAAACCAAAAUUAAGUAGGAGCAUUGAAAAGGUGACAAAAACCCCACUCCCCGGGGGGCUGCGGGCUGUCCUCCAUUGCCUCGCGCUUCCGCUCGGCCCCCCGCCCUGCUCCCUCCUAUUGCUUUUCACUUUUUUUUAAAAAUAAACUUUUAAACCGAGGAUUAAAACUGCAGCAGAGACUUAUCUUUGGGACGACCUCUAAAACGCGUGGAGGGGAUUAAAUCUAAUUUUGCUACACAGAGUAUGGGUGCUCUGAUUUUUUCUUUUAAUAGCAAUGAGAUAAACUGAUAGAGCUGUAUUACUUGGGUUUUUAAAAAUCAAGUAGUCAUUAGAUAAUGAUCCAUCAGUCUUAAACUUGGCGGCUGGGAUCCGUGUGCGUUCUGUGUGAGCCCCUAAGGGGGCUGGCUACUGGCCGUGUGAGCAUCGCUGCAUGGGCUCGCUCCGUACGGGAUUUUAGAUGUCGGAUAUUUGGAUGGAGACUGUUCGGCAGAGAGGGUGCUUUGUCUUAGCCGGCGUUUUUGGCACUCAUCUCAAAUUGCAUCACCUGAACCUUUUGCCAAAGCUUACCUACUAAACACCACGGAAGGAUGGUGCCCAGCAGCGGCGUUGGAGCUUUGCCUUGUUACCGGCAGGAUAAAGCCGAGCCGCUCUCCUAUCUGCACGCGUGUUAAAUUGGCCACAGGUCAUUGCAGAUAGGCUCAGAUUUUGGCUUUCUGCUUCGCGGAGGAAUUUUGGCCUAGCAGUAGCCAGCCGGAGUUUUGGUAGUUUGUGGUUACCAAGCGGCGUCUAUUUGGAUCUUAGAAAAUCAGAGCAUAAAUUCUUAAUGCUGAUCAGCUGUGUCAUUGGCGUCGCCUCCGUGACCUCUAACUGCUGUUACUUCAAACAGUUGCCAUUAAACGCAGUCAAUAACACCCUUAUGUAUUCCAUAGGAGCUUUUCCUCCUGCCAUCUCAAAUGAAAAAUAAACAAAAGAGCUUAAGCACGCAACGUGCUAAAUAGAGUAAUAAGCUGUGAAAGUACUUUACGGGGAAAUCUGGGGCAAGAGCUGUCUGCUGAAGCAAGCCUAUUAGGGCUGGCAGCAGAAAGGCUUUGGGAGGCGUUCUUUGGGAGAGAUAAUUGAAAGAUUUUUUCAAAUGUGUGUGUAUUCCCCCCCCCUUUCUGACUAGUUUUAAGAAAUCCCUCCCUCCUUAAAUUGAUUACCUCUCAGCAUCAGAACGCCUUGGCUUUAAGUACCUGCUAAGCUGCUCCUGUGCUGAUUUGACUUUGCCUUUCUGUUAGAUGUAAAACAGUUUUUAAUCUUCUCAUUUUGACGUUUUAAUAGAAAGUAAAUGUUUAACUUGCUUUGCCGUGGCAUCCAAAUCUUUAAUCCACGGAAGCAUAACGAAAUGGAAACGUGCUUUUGUUCAAACCGGUGUUAUCAGCCGUCCAAGAGAUGCUUUGCUAGUGGCACUUUCUGGGUGGGAGUUGCACACCCGUGUCUGUCACCUUCGGCAGCGGCGCAGUACGGGUAGCUGUGCGGCCGCGCGGCUCGAGGUGGGAGGAGUGGCCGGGGCCACGGUUUUCAAGAGGCAAGAAGAGGCUGGUUUGCCUCGCCGAGAGACGGGGAGGCGGGUGGUAAUUCCUGUUGGGAAAUGCCCGGUGCUCACCCGCCCGGAGCUAGAGCUGGUGCCAAGGUGCUCGUGUUGGGAAAAGCAACUAAUCACCCACGAGCUGAUUGAUGGACGAUGGGUUUUCAGGAGCGUGAUGGGGAGAGUGGCGAGAACCCCGUCUCGGGAUGGUUUCAGACUGUGGGGAAUGGGGGAAGGUCCAUAAACGUGCUGUAAGUUGAGUGUUUAUGGUUACUGGUUGCAAGUUCAAUCACAGCCUUUGCUGGAGGUUUACAUUUGGAGGUUAUAUACCCCUUCUGAUGGUGGUGUGAUUGGCGCUGCUCUAGUGAAUGAGAGCUGAAGCGGCACGCUCGCCAGGAAAACGCUGAAAAGUGGGCUAGCAUCGCAUUUGGUUCCUGGUACAGGAAAGGGGGUUUCCACUCUUAGCCUCUUGGUUUAUUUAUUUAUGCUUAAAUUUAAUUUUAUUUUCUAGAAAAGGCAUUUACUGCUCCAGGACACAAAUACUGCUGCCGAAUUAACAGGCCAAAUUCAAAAUUCAUCAAGGGGAGGGAAGCACAGAGCAAAUACAGAUAGAAACCGUCUCAGGUGCAAAAGCAGCCGUUCGUGCCCGCUUUGGCGGCGAGGGCAGGCGCGACAGCUGUUGAUCCCUUCAGACGCAUUAUCUGCCUCAAAUAAAAAUUGGGAUUUUUUUUCAGGCCAAAAGCGUGGUAAGCCCCAGAAGACUGAGAGCGCUGCCGAAGCUUUUACCUGCGCGUUCCCGACCAGCCCGUGCUGGCAGGAGGAGACGCCGUUCAGGGCAGCCCAGUUCUGAGAGGCACCUGCAAAUACCCCAUAAACAUGAUUUCUACCAUUUUAAAGAUAAAUCCAUUAGUGCAGGUUUGUCCAGAUAAAUAAAGCGCUCUAAUUUUCAGGCUCACAUUGAUGGUGUCAGGCUGUCACCACAGAAGUGCUGGUGGUACAAAUAGCCAGGUGCAUCUGGCAAACCCCGGUCAUCACCGGGCACCCCGAGUUACCCCGCGCUCGGUAGCGAGAGCCGGGAGGCCGGUUCUCCACCGCUGUUUUGGCUUCUCCCCCCAUGCUCCGGGCUGUCGCCAGCCUGAGCUCGCUUGGAGGGUCCCCGUCCCCGCAGAGCCCGGUGCCCGGGCUGAUCCUUCCCGGGGCCGGGGCGAGCUCGGGUGCGGGAGCAUCCCGCGGCGCCCAGAGCUGUCCCCGGUUUGUGCGUCAGCUGGGCUGCGCGUGGAAGCCAAAGGGAAGGAAGCUUUCAGUAAACUAAUAAAUCUACUUCAAAACAAAAUAGUUUACUCCUCAUGAGAGUGGAUACUGGGAUUAAGCACUCUGUUUGGAAAAACGUGAACUUGAUAUUUCAACUUUUCUAAUGAGUUCCUGUGCAAGAGUUGCCAGGUUUGACUUUAUUUCAUAGGUAUUUGUUACCACACUUUUCUUCCUGGGGAGAAAAUGGAGCUUAUUUCUGCCUCUUGCAGGGCUUGUGUGGAGUCGUUGCCUUCGCAGCGUCCGCGUUUCAGUGCUAACACCUUCUUUCCCAUGGAUGGACUUGGGGCAGAAGCUGCUCUCCCAGGGGUGCUGGGGCUGCCUGCCGCCCAGCCCCGGGACCUUGCGUGGCCAUCAAAGCCAUGCUAAGGAGCUGCCUUUAUUUUAAUAUCUGUGGGAAGUCCUAGCCAAGUCUGGGAAAGGUCAGGGGGAAGCAAGAAAUCAGGCCUUUCGUCCCAGCGGAGUUCACCUAACGAUUUGUCUGCAGUGUUUUUGCCAAUUAUGGAAGAAAGAAAAUCCCUAUUUCUUCAGAGACGGGAUGCCUCGGGCAGAUCACCGAGGCUUCGACUUGCUGCAGCUGAAGUUCUGGAAAAACCCGAAAUAGCCAAUAGCCCGUUGGGGUGAGUUUGGCGUGCAAGGAGCUGGAGCAUCUGGGCUGGUUUCAUUUCCCAUAUCAGUCCGCGCAGACACAAAUAGCUGCUGUUGUCAUCCUUGCUAACUUAGUUUUCUUUCUUAGAGGGAACCGGGGGAAAAGUUUGGAAAUGUCUUUUUUGCCAGUGGCUUUUUGUUACCACUGAGGUGAGGGGCAGAAAUGCCUCUCUGACCUCAAAUGAAGCGCCAGGUCGCUCUAGGCUGCAGAAUGAAAAUGGUUGCGUGGGGACGUGUCCUGCCCCGCUGACACUGAGGACGCGGCGAGGCCGGCUUGCGGCAGGGUGCGGCGCCAGCCCCUCGCCCGUGAGCUUUCACGGACCGGCCGCAGGGUCACUCGGCUGAAGGCGGCUGAAACAAGAUCAUCCGUUAAAACGGGGGAGCCCGGCAGAGGCUCAGGGAGAUUUUUCUCCGUGUUUCUCUUGUUGCUUUGGUUUGUGACAGACCCAAAAAGUUUCAUUUUUCAAAAUCGGUAGGAAACGGCAGCGUUUCGAGGAAAUCCCUUCUGCCGGGUGAAGGUGGCCACCGCAUCCAGCUCCACUUGCUCCUCCCCGGCCGUGGCAGGGCUGCCCAUGCCGUAUCUCAUCUCCAGCAGGAAUUUUGGACCGAGGUCUGCAGCAUCAGUACACGAACAGGCUGGCAUUGCUUCGCGGGCGGGUACCCACGGAAAAUGAUGCUACGCAGGGCGUCCCAGCAGCACCUCCAGCAAAGAACUUGCUGUUCUCCAGGAGAUGAAUUGUGAGCGGUUUGCACCCAUCCGAGGGAAGCAGAGCUGCUCCUUCACUGUGCGCUGGAUUUACAAGUUGGAUUUACAGUAUAUUAACUUAAAUGUUUAAUUUUCUGAGUUGCAGUCAUUCUAAUUAAAUUAAUCUGCAAGUUCUA